UUGGAGGGCAAGUCUGGUGCCAGCAGCCGCGGUAAUUCCAGCUCCAAUAGCGUAUAUUAAAGUUGUUGCAGUUAAAAAGCUCGUAGUUGAAUUUCGGGAUCAGCAAGUUGGUCGUGCCUCUGGUACGUACUGGCUUUACUGGUUCCUCCUUCUUGAAGAACUGUAAUGUCAUUAAUUUGGUGUUGCAGGGAAACAGGACUGUUACUUUGAAAAAAUUAGAGUGUUUAAAGCAAGCUAACGCUUGAACACAUUAGCAUGGAAUAAUGAAAUAGGACGUUUGAUCCUAUUUUGUUGGUUUCUAGGAUUGACGUAAUGAUUAAUAGGGAUAGUUGGGGGCAUUAGUAUUCAAUUGUCAGAGGUGAAAUUCUUGGAUUUAUUGAAGACUAACUACUGCGAAAGCAUUUGCCAAGGAUGUUUUCAUUAAUCAAGAACGAAAGUUAGGGGAUCGAAGACGAUCAGAUACCGUCGUAGUCUUAACCAUAAACUAUGCCGACUAGGGAUCGGAUGAUGUUAAUUUUUUAAUGACUCAUUCGGCGCCUUACGGGAAAC
rnacentral:rRNA from 1 species